ensembl:snRNA U1 U1 spliceosomal RNA
GCCUUUAGUAGGCCACAUGGAGAUACCAUGAUCAUGAAUGUGGUUUUCCCAGGGUGAGGCUUAUCCAUUGCACUCUGGAUGUGCUAACCCCUGCGAUUGCCCCAAAUGUGGGAACUCGACUGCAUAAUUUGAGGUAGUGGGGGACUAUAUUCACACUUUCCCCUG